rnacentral:lncRNA from 1 species
UCGGACUCCUCCUCCAGGCUUGAAAGGACCUCACGAGGUCGAUGAAUGUUGUCGUAGUAAGGUGCAAGCUUUCUCUUCAAGCUUCUACGUCCUUGCAUACACAACACGAACAAACAAAUCAAACGCACCGGAGGGAGAAAAAUAACCGAGUCAAAAGAAAUAAACAAAAAUAAACACGGAAAACAAUGCAACACAAUCAAAUGCCUAAAGCCUUCCCCGGCAACGGCGCCAAAAUUUGACUCAUCCAAAAACACCUAACGGAUGGACUCGAAUUUAUACGAGGUCGUCCUAGGGCGGUAAGGUGACUCAAGUCGUCUCUCAAGGAAGGCUUAGCAG